AUUGAACGCUGGCGGCAUGCCUUACACAUGCAAGUUGAACGGCAGCGCGGACUUCGGUCUGGCGGCGAGUGGCGAACGGGUGAGUAAAGCAUCGGAACGUGCCUAGGAGUGGGGGAUAACGUAGCGAAAGUUACGCUAAUACCGCGUAUUCUGUGAGCAGGAAAGCAGGGGAUCUUCGGACCUUGUGCUUCUGGAGCGGCCGAUGUCAGAUUAGCUAGUUGGUGAGGUAAAAGCUCACCAAGGCGACGAUCUGGAGCGGGUCUGAGAGGAUGAUCCGCCACACUGGGACUGAGACACGGCCCAGACUCCUACGGGAGGCAGCAGUGGGGAAUUUUGGACAAUGGGGGCAACCCUGAUCCAGCCAUGCCGCGUGAGUGAAGAAGGCCUUCGGGUUGUAAAGCUCUUUCGGCCGGGAAAAAAUCGCUUGGGCUAAUACCUCAAGUGGAUGAUGGUACCGGAAUAAGAAGCACCGGCUAACUACGUGCCAGCCGCCGCUGUAACAC
rnacentral:rRNA from 1 species